GACUCAACAAUAUCUUAUGGCGUGUUUAAUCAUCUAAUGAAACUUAUGGAUUUGCAGCAAAAAGGAACAUUUGAAACAGGGCAAGAGGACACUACAGAAAUUCCUGAAGAACUGAGACUGAGAUUGGCAUAUAGAGAAGCAGCUGUUGCUGUUCUUGCAUGUUAUUUUCCUGAACCACUCCGCCCUUUUGUUGAGACUAAUAUAACUUCUAUUCGCAGCCAGCCAAAUAUGUGUUAUAAUGAAGUAGCUUCUUGCGGGCUGCAAUAGAGGGAAUUUGUUGGAUGAAGGAAGGGCCAUGUACAACUCCCUUUAUUCUCUUUCAAUUUUAAUUUGCAGCGUGUGGAAACAAGAGAAAUCAGGUGAAUUGGGCAGAGGAGGUUCAACUGCAGUUGCAGCAAUACUGAUCAACUAUCAGACGUAGGUAGUGGUUAAUAUUCAAUUUCAUUUUUUAUUGUAUCUUUUCUGCAGAUGAGAUCAUGAACCUGUUUCUGAUUUCAAUUUCAAUUUUGUUGGUAGGGUUUGAGAUCUUGCAAUUGAAUUGAGUGCUGAUUUUGUUACUAGUUUGGUUUCAUCUGGAAAUUGUAUAGGUUAGAUUACUUAUGGUUCAGUUAUAAAGCUUAUGCAUGAGAAGACAAAAUUCAGGUUGCAUUCUCAGGAUGUUCCGUAUGGUUCUAGCAGUGGACAGCAAUCGGUUACUGGUUUUCCUACUGUUGAUGAUGCCAAAAGUUAAUGGGUACCUGAAUUCGGUUCAAAUCUGUAGCUGAGAUCUUGAGCCCUGGAAAUUGGAAAUGGCCUUCUCUUGCCAGCAAUAUGGAUUCUUUCUUUGAUGCAUUUGAUAUUGAGAGCAACUUGUCGAGUCGAAACUUUGAAGAAACUUAAAUCUGAGCACUCAAUUCAGGUUCUUAUUUAUGAUUUUUUUUCCCGAUGUUGCAAGUCUUCUAUAAAGAAAGGUUGAAUGGAUAUUAUGGAUUUGCAGUGUACAUUAUGUCAAAUUUUUGUAUAUCAUAUUAUGUUAAAUUUUGGACAAUGGAAAUAGCAUUAAUUCUAACUAUGCUUCUUUUAUUCCACCUUUUGGUUUAAAUCCCAAAAUGAAUUUUCUCUGUUUAUAGUUCAUGUUUCUCAGUCUACUAUUCCUCAAAGUAACUUAAUGCUUGGUUAAUAUCAUUCUUCAACUAUUCUAUGGAAAUUAUGUUUUUAUUGCACUAGUUGUUGGUUACAUAUAAAGGUCAACCGCUAGAAUUACUGACAAAGAUGAAUUCAGUUACGAGACGCAUCGAUCUAACCUUCAUAAUAAGCUUUAUAUCCCUUAAAGCACCUGCUGCAUACACAUUCAACGCACUUGCUCCUCAAGUUGACGCCUUGUAGGCCUUCUGCUAGUGGCUGCAACUUGCAAUGACUUGCGCGAAACUUAAAGGCUAAAUUACAUGUAAGUAAACAUUCAUGUAAGUAAGUAUUAGGAUAUAGUAAAUUCUGUUUGGAAACUAUGAUUCUCCUAAGGUACCAUUGUAAAUUUAAUUCUUGAUUACCUAAAAGUAUGAUUUUGUUAAGACUUUAUAGUUCUUGAAACUUUACCAUCAUUAUUGUUGGGUUAUUAUGACACUGGUAAUUUUUUGAGCAUUCAUGACAUGCGGGGUUAAAAUAGAACAGUGGUGGUAAUGGCUUGAAAUAUAGUGACGGGCUUAGGCUUGGAAGUUUAUGAUCGGCUUUGGCGAUGUUUGCGUGAUUCGAGGUGCUGCUUCAUAAGGAUUACUACUUAUGGACUAGCAUGGUAUUAAUGGGUUUUUUGACCUGAUAAGUAGGCUACUGAUGUGUUAUGUUUCUGUUGUUCUACAACUUCAUUAUUUUUUUGACCAUUGCUUAAAUUGUUAGAGAUUGGAGUCAUUUGGAGGGAUGUUAUAUCCGUUCUCCAAUUCUGCUUUGUUUUUUUUAGAUUGGUGUUGGUAACAGACAAUUUUGUAUCUUUGGCAUUGCUUGUAACAUGUUUUCAGUAGUCUUAUUUUGGUCUUUCAAAAAAAAAAACUUCAUCUUUAUAGAGAUAUGUGUCACCAUAAGCUACAACAUUUUGAUCAUGUGCAAUAGUAGUAGUAGUAGCCAUAAUAGUAAUAGCAUGUAAAUUUUGAUCAUUGGAAGAAUUUACAACAUGAGUAAUAACAUCAUCUUGAACAUUUUUUUCUGGUGCAUGAGUAAGACAUGUCCCAGUUUGUUGAGAUUCAUAAGUCAUAGCAAAUAAUUUUUUAUCAUUGACAUUAGAGCUGACACAACCUGAUAAUACCGACAACAUCCCACCCGAUUUAUAUCUUAGAAAUAUUGACGAGUUGUUCGAAAAAAACGAGAGCCUUCUAUUGAAAUGAUGCUCAUAUGUCACCAUAAAUCACAACAGCUACAACAGCAAUAUCAACACAGCAACAUGUAGAUUUCAGCCACUGCUAAUGUUUUGAAAGAUCAUUUGAUUGCUUCAAGUGAGUGGAAAAUCAGCCUCAAAGCAACAACAUUCCAAGAAGACUCAAAUUCAAGUCGGUGCGGCGCUGACACCUAGAGAGAUAUAAAUGGCACAACAAAAAGGAUCAUGAUUUUGCCAUUAGAAUGCGAAACUUCAAUAUUUUGGGUGUGCUAAAACAUUUACACAUCACUCACUUACCCAAGUUCAUUUUUUAUACACUAUAUGUCAUUUUUAUAAUAAGCAUUUCAUAGCACACAAAAAUAAAAGUAGUUGAUAUUGAUGAACUUUGCUAAAUUUUAUCUACCAAUAAUUCUAAUUGGUCUAAAGCAAAACUACAUAAAUACUACAUGAUUAUAUUUUUAUCUGAUUCAAUUUUUCAAUUUUAAUACGACUUGCUAUACCGUGACAAUGAAGCAUCUUGGAUAUCUCCAACAUAUCUAAUAAAGACGCUAAAGA